CGAAGCCUGACGGAGCAAUACCGCGUGAGGGAAGAAGGCUUUUGGGUUGUAAGCCUCUUUUGUCAGGGAAGAAGAAUUGACGGUACCUGAAGAAAAAGCAUCGGCUAACUCCGUGCCAGCAGCCGCGGUAAUACGGAGGAUGCAAGCGUUAUCCGGAAUCAUUGGGCGUAAAGGGUCCGCAGGUGGCGAAUAAAGUCUGCUGUUAAAGACCGGGGCUAAACUCCGGAAAGGCAGUGGAAACUGAUUAGCUAGAGUACGGUAGGGGUAGAGGGAAUUCCCAGUGUAGCGGUGAAAUGCGUAGAUAUUGGGAAGAACACCGGUGGCGAAAGCGCUCUACUAGGCCGAAACUGACACUGAGGGACGAAAGCUAGGGUAGCGAAAGGGAUUAGAUACCCCUGUAGUCUUAGCGGUAAACGAUGGAUACUAGGUGUAGCUUGUAACGACCCGAGCUGUGCCGAAGCUAACGCGAUAAGUAUCCCGCCUGGGGAGUACGCACGCAAGUGUGAAACUCAAAGGAAUUGACGGGGGCGCGCACAAGCGGUGGAGUAUGUGGUUUAAUUCGAUGCAACGCGAAGAACCUUACCAGGGCUUGACAUGUCGCGAAUCUAGCGGAAACGUUAGAGUGCCUUAGGGAAUGCGAACACAGGUGGUGCAUGGCUGUCGUCAGCUCGUGUCGUGAGAUGUUGGGUUAAGUCCCGCAACGAGCGCAACCCUCGUCCUUAGUUGCCAAUAUUAAGUUAGGCACUCUAGGGAGACUGCCGGGGACAACUCGGAGGAAGGUGGGGAUGACGUCAAGUCAGCAUGCCCCUUACGUCCUGGGCGACACACGUACUACAAUGGUUGGGACAAAGGGCAGCAAGCUCGCGAGAGUAAGCGAAUCUCAUCAAACCCAGCCACAGUUCAGAUUGCAGGCUGCAGCUCGCCUGCAUGAAGUAGGAAUCGCUAGUAAUCGCAGGUCAGCAUACUGCGGUGAAUUCGUUCCCGGGCCUUGUACACACCGCCCGUCACACCAUGGAAGCUGGCUACGCCCGAAGUCGUUACCCUAACCCGGUUUUGGGAGGGGGAUGCCGAAGGUAGAGCUAGUGACUGGGGUGAAGUCGUAACAAGGUAGCCGUACCGGAAGGUGUGGCUGGAUCACCUCCUUU
rnacentral:rRNA from 1 species